GGGGGCGUACUGGGUUUGACGGGGAACUAUGUCGGUCGUCGGCAGCGUGUCGAGGGUCACCCGCUCGUAAAACGGAUGAAGGCAACUUUAACUGCCGAUAACAACUACGCACUGGCUGCUUAGGUAGCCACGUCCUUCCCAAGGCUCGGCCCGUCGGUCUGGGAUGGACGAAGUUAGAUGGGCUGGGUUGCCGUCGCGCCCGUCGGCGGUGAUCGAGAUUUUUCGGGCUGGCCUUGAGGAAGGUUGCCAGCUAACUGACCACAAGGCGAGAUAAACUAGCCGGCUGCACACGGAGAAACCGGCGAUCGAAGUUCCUCGGACGUGGGUUCGAUUCCCACCGCCUCCACCA
rnacentral:tmRNA from 1 species